AUUGAACGCUGGCGGCAGGCCUAACACAUGCAAGUCGAGCGGAUGACGGGAGCUUGCUCCUUGAUUCAGCGGCGGACGGGUGAGUAAUGCCUAGGAAGCUGCCUGGUAGUGGGGGACAACGUUUCGACAGGAACUCUAAUACCGCAUACGUCCUACGGGAGAAAGCAGGGGACCUUCGGGCCUUGCGCUAUCAGAUGAGCCUAGGUCGGAUUAGCUAGUUGGUGGGGUAAGGGCUCACCAAGGGGACGAUCCGUAACUGGUCUGAGAGGAUGAUCAGUCACACUGGAACUGAGACACGGUCCAGACUCCUACGGGAGGCAGCAGUGGGGAAUAUUGGACAAUGGGCGAAAGCCUGAUCCAGCCAUGCCGCGUGUGUGAAGAAGGUCUUCGGAUUGUAAAGCACUUUAAGUUGGGAGGAAGGGCAGUAAGCUAAUACCUUGCUGUUUUGACGUUACCGACAGAAUAAGCACCGGCUAACUCUGUGCCAGCAGCCGCCGUAA
rnacentral:rRNA from 1 species